rnacentral:rRNA from 1 species
UACAGAGGUGGCAAGCGUUUGUUCGGAAUUACUGGGCGUAAAGGGCGCGUAGGCGGCCUUCUAAGUCAGACGUGAAAUCCCCGGGCUUAACCUGGGAAUGGCAUUUGGGACUGCAAGGCUUGAGUGCGGCAGAGGAGACUGGAAUUCCUGGUGUAAGCAGUGAAAUGCGUAGAUAUCAGGAGGAACACCGAUGGCGAAGGCAGGUCUCUGGGCUGACAC